rnacentral:sRNA from 1 species
GCUUAAGGAAGUAAAAUGGCGGACCUGGCGAACGAAGUACAGACGGGGUUUCACCAUGUUGGCCAGGAUGGUCUCCAUCUCCUGACCUCGUGAUCUGCCCGCCUCGGCCUCCCAAAGUGCUGGGAUUACAGGCGUGAGCCACCGCACCCGGCUGCUACAUCUCUUUUUUUAAGAUAAAGGAGCCCAUGGAGGGUUGCAGCAUUCCAACUCAUGAGAUCUAGUUACAGAGGGACUGGAAAAGCCUGCCAUUGCUCCGCCCGUCUUUGUGUUUCAGAAGGAUAAAGGACAAAAGAGGUCAGCUGGCGGCUCCAGUCCUGAAGGCGGAGAAGAUUCUGACAGAGAAGAUGGAAAUUACUGCCCUCCUGUCAAGCGAGAAAGAACGUCCUCUUUAACCCAGUUCCCACCCUCACAGUCAGAGGAAAGGAGCAGUGGCUUCCGGUUGAAGCCACCAACGCUGAUCCACGGCCAAGCCCCCAGCGCAGGUCUGCCAAGCCAGAAGCCCAAGGAGCAGCAGCGGAGCGUGCUUCGCCCGGCAGUGUUACAAGCUCCGCAGCCAAAGGCGCUGUCCCAGACUG